rnacentral:piRNA from 1 species
UCCCACAUCAAUCACAGGGUGGGGCCAGGA